AACGAACGCUGGCGGCAGGCUUAACACAUGCAAGUCGAACGCCACGCAAGGGGAGUGGCAGACGGGUGCGUAACGCGUGGGAACAAACCGUUGUCUACGGCGUAACUCAGGGACACUGGAAUUAAUACCAAAUACGCCCUACGGGGGAAAGGUUUACCGGGGACGGAUGGGCGCGGGGUGGAUUGGAAAGUGGGUGGGGUGAAGGCGGGCCUAGGCGACGAGCCAGAGCUCGUCUGAGAGGCUGAACAGCCACCCUGGGACUGAGGGACGGCCCAAACUCCUACGGGAGGCAGCAGUGGGGAAUAUUGGACCAUGGGCGCAGGCCUGAUCCAGCCAUGCCGCGUGAGUUAUGAUGGCCUUAGGGUUGUGAAGCUCUUUCACCUAUGAAGAUAAUGACGGUAGUCGGAGAAGAAGCCCCGGCUAACUUCGUG
rnacentral:rRNA from 1 species